AUGAAUAAUCUAAGAUGUCAGUUACGACAUUACGAGAAUGUUGUACCCACAAGCCCAAAGUUUCAGAAUUUGACAACCAUAUCAGAACUUUGUCAACGACUUGCAUCUAGUGGAAAAUCAGAUGAAUAUUACUUGAUUGACAGACUCAUUCGGCUUGUUCUUACUUUACCAGUUUCAACGGCAACGAUAGAACGUGCAUUUUCUGCCAUGAAACUUGUGAAGACAAGGCUUCGGAAUAAAAUGGAAGAUGGAUUUCUAAGGGACUGCUUGCUAAUUUAUAUUGAAAAGGAGAUUGUUGUUGGAGUAUCAGCAGAUGCAAUUAUAGAUGAGUUCGAUGAACCACCACGUUGUGUGCCAUUUAGUUGA
rnacentral:rRNA from 1 species